GACAUGACUGGACAACUAACACACACUAAGGCACUUGAGGACAGUGGUGCCUCUUUUUCAGUCAUAAGUGGACCCUUAUGUCUGCAAGACCUCAGAAUAGUAGCCUCUUCCCAACUUACAAUUUGAUUUAAUAUGAAGGUAAUCAUGGUAAGGGCCCAUGAUUAUAAAUAUGAGCAUCUCCACACAAAGGAUGUGUGAAUACAAAUGUCUCCACACAGUUUAUCAAUUUCUACUGCACUUUCUCUUAUCUCUUUCUCAACUUCUUCAAAUCAAACUUUCUCUCUAGAAUAUCUUUACUUUUCUUUAUGAUUUUUUUCCUCCUUUAAGACCCUUUUCUGGAAGCCUUCCAGUCUACUCAAACACUCAUUCCCCAUUAACAAAAAUCUCUUUCUCUGAGAAAUUGUCUUUAAUGAAAUCAGAUUAUUGCAUCCUCCUUUCCUUUUGAUGCUUCAUUUACCUUUUAGUCAUUCAUUGGUUUAUAUUUAAAGCACAGAUUUAUGCUACUGUUAAUAUCAAGGGUUAUAUAUUUUUUCUGCUCUUUAUACACAAUUACAACAUACUCAAAAACUUUUUCAUAACCUGGUUGAUUAUAGCUCACUUAGAUUCCCCUUCAGUAUUAUUCUUUGAAACUUAAAGCUAAAUAUUUAUUUUUAAAGAAAUUUCUGCUCAACUUGUAAACAACUGUGUCCUAAAUAUCUAUUUUCUUGUUCAUAAAACCUACUGAAUCCCACUGGGUGGGCCAUAAGGGGCAUGCACUGAAUGUUUUCCAACAUAUCUAGAGUCAGAUACUAAUCCAUUGAUUCCACAAAUCCAUAUUGACUUCCAAGUCUGUGAAGACCCUGUUCUGGGGCCUGUUGUUAUGAAAGAUUCAAUCCUGCAGAAAGACGAGAUCUGGCUUAAAAACACUUGGGAUAAAUUUUUACCAAAUGAUGUAUAAGCUUUUUCACCAAAACCUUCACCUCUUCAUGCAGUAUUUAUAUGCACAAAGACCAGGAGUGUAAUACUCCAUUUUCCUUUCUUUUCUUAAAUGCACUGAAAGUAAAUUAAAGUGUACAGGAAUAAUGAUAAAAUCAAAGGAAAAACCACAUAAAGUUUCAUUUUAAAAGCGUGGGGUGUCCCUCUGUUCCAUUCCACCAACCCGCUUGCCUUGCAAACCAACAUAGCCUGGUUGUCCUUAAAUAUAAAUACUUACAUCCCUGAGGAACAGGAGGAAGCAGAGAGGCAGCAGAAGGGGAAGUAUGCUAAGAAAGGCAUUGAUACCCUAAGGGACAAUUUUUAUCUCAAGAGAACUGACCUUUUAGAGAAAGCAAAUUGAAUUAUCUUUCUCAUCCUUUAUUUUUGCUGUGACAUCAUUAAAAUGCAUGUUACAUAACAACAGUCAUUGUUUUGUAUUCUUAACCUUAAACUAAAAUUAAUCAGUUGUCACAAGGACUUAAUACAUGUGUUAAUGGUUCCUAGCCAAAAAUUCUGUAUUGUUACAAGAAAAGCAGUUUUAUAUAUACACCCUUGAGAAAAACAACAGAGGAGAAUUAAGUGGUGGACACUGAAUAUUCUUUUCUCUUGUUCAUAAAAUAGCAGUCUCUUCAUUCUCUUCUCUGUCUGUUGAACUAGCACUUCUGAUUUGAUGUUUGACAUGAUAUUUAUUGUCUCAAAGGGAGGAAACACUCUUUUGACUAAGUCUAAUUAAUAUAAAUUAGAUCCUACAAAGUUUAAUAAAUACAUGAAUUUAGAUAGUAAGCACUUAUUAAGCUCUGAUUUGGAACCCAGAUCCUUACCAUGGAUUUUUUAUUCAAUACAUAUUCAUUGAGAACUUGAAGAACUGGUGAAAAAUGUUUUAUGAAUAGCUCAAAAGUUGUCUUUACAAAGCUCAUAGCCUUGUCAGGCAAAAGAUAAGUAAAUGUAACAGACAACACUGUGUUUCAAGUGCUCUAUAAAGGAUAAACAUAUUCUCAAAAAAGAGGCUUAGGAGACAAAGAGAGGGCUUCUUAAAGGGGUCAUCAAAACUGAAUGUUGCAUAGAUUUGAGGAAAAAAAAUUAAAGAGGAGCAAGAUCAAAGGAAAAAACAAAAACAUAAUUAGCUCAUCCUUUUAGCACUCUACAUGAAAGAUAAGGCAAUGUGGUCUGUAUGAAGAUAGUGAUAUUGAGGAUAAUAAGGCGUUGCAUUCAACCCAUGUUAAGGAGGGAAAAGAGUCAAAGUGAUCCAUUGGAUGAUCAGAUGCAGAAGACAUUCAGGUGCAAGAAAGGCAUAGCCUCCACCUUCCAGGACUUAAUAUUCUAUUUGAGGAAAUAUAAGUUGAAAAUGUAAACCUUGAUAUUUUAAAGCAAUUGAAUGUUGAGGAAGUAGCUGAACUUUGUGAUUAGCAAAUAUUCUGCAAUGUUAUUUAUUAACCAUAUGGUUGGCAAUAGUGACUUUCUAUGUUAUGAUCACUAAUGUAUGGAAAAUAUGUGGUACUAAGAGAUAAUCUAAAAAUACCAGUGCAUAUUGUUGUAAAAUAACUAGUACCACAUUAGGAAAAUCACACUGAUUAUAUGCUAAAUGGAUGAAGCAAAAUGUUUAAUUAAUUUAAGACUUUUUUUCUUUUAUACGUCUCUGAGGAAGAAAAGAAUCAUUUCCUUGUGCAAUUAGGGAAUUGAACAGACAUUUUUGUUUCAGAAUAUCUUUAGGCAAUGGAUUACUCACCUCUCUAGGUCAAUAUUUGAUCCCUUUCCAUCAAUAAGCUCUUUCUGCUAUCUGACCAUGAUCCCUCCAAUUUAGUUAAGGCCUUUUGCUUUUAUUGGGUCUGCUCAGAUUCCUUUUUGCUCUAAGAAAUGGAAAUGUAGUUAUUCCCUCAGUAGGGAGUGGCUUAUCAGUACGAUCUCAUGUGUUCUUGCUAUGCUGAAACUGGUUAUUUUCCUUUGUUUCCAAGGCUCAUUUUGAAGAAUAUGUUGGCAUAUUUCCUUAAUAGUUGCAUAUGUUUUUUAAAUCUGCAUCAGAUAGUCACUGCUAUAUACAAGAGGAAAAAUAGCAAUUUAUCUUUAUUUUUCUGAAGUUUUUAUUUUCUCCUUCGAAGUUUUCUCUCAGAGAAAUGGUUAUGAAAGUUUUUUCCAUGCAACACAUAAACAUGAAGCAUUUCCAGUGAAGUCAAUGAAUCCCCGUAGUAUACAGAAACGUCUGUCUCCAUGUUCUGGACGGGACCUGGGGCAAAGGAAGAUCCUGACCUACUGACAUCAUAUGGCACAUAGAUGUCCAUAUUCAAUCAUCAAAUACUCAGAACAUGUCUAGCCUAAAAAAUUAUAUGUUUUGUAUAUAAAUAAACUUAGAAUACUCCAGUCAUUUCUUUCAGGGGAGACUUCCAGCCAGUCCACAUUUUUCCUACAUUUGUUAUUCUCUGCUCAAAGGUACUCCCAGGAAGGGAUAUCAUCUAAUUGAGGAGACAUUAGUGCCUAGAGGAUGGGCCAGUUCUCCAGAAUGAUCUAGUGAGGGCUCCUUCCCAGCCACCGGAGACUCAAAGGGACUGGAGGAUGAAAUGCGAUUCUCCACUUAUCAUUAAUGGUUCCAGUUUGGUGCUGAUAUGAAUACGGAAGGCAGAAUGCCCAAGCUACCUGGAUCUGAUGCUAAGGAAAUGCCUUUGUAAACCACCAAACACAAUGCCCGGAGCUCACAGAGCAACAGAGAUUUCCAUCUCCCUUAAAGCAUUGCUGAAAAGAAGUUGGUGAUAUCUUCUUUCUUCUACAGGAAAUAGAAGGGAAACAUCUUUGGGACGUAAGGCCAAAUGAUUUGUGCUGGCUUUUCAAAAUGUAACUAAAAAUGCCUGCUGUAAGAACACACCCAUUUGCACCUGUUCAAGUCCUGAGGAAAAUUUGCAUGAGGCUGAAUAAAUGUCAGGAUGUGACCAAAAGAAAUCCAAUGAAAACUUCCUCUAAUUUGUCUUACUAUUACUGUAUGGAUUUCUUGGACUGGUGAAAAUAAUAUAUGAUCUCUUUGGUUUGGUUUUGGUUUGAAGCUAUUAUAACCUCUUCUGCCUUUUUAAGAGGGACAAUUUCCACAGGAGGUAGACUGGUCCUAGAAGAAUCAAUCAGAAGUCAGGAUAUAUUCACCUUCCCAAAUAGCCUCAAACAUAAUUUGCUAAGUAAAGAAUUUCCUAUUCCUCCCCAAAUAAGGAUAAUAGAAAUGCAGUUAUAACUCUGAUCUUCCAUCUUUAGACAAAUAUUAAGCCUGACAUUAAGAGUUACAGUAUUUGUGAAUUGGUCAUUAGUACAUAAUUGCCAUAUAUCUCAAGGUGCAAUAUCUCCUAUGCUCUCAAAUAGUUUUUAACUGAACACAGAUGUUUUUAUGGGCACACAGAGGAAAAAAGAAAAGGAUACUUUUCAGUGGUAUAGGCCUGUGUUAUAUCAUGAUGGACUUUUAGGCUAAAAGGCUUGGCCAGCUGGCUUGACCUUGAGUGAGGUACUUCACCUUGCUGAGUCCCAGCACCAAUAUCUGUAAAACGAGGGGAUUAAUUUGGUGGUGGCUAAAAACCCAUCCAACACAAAAAUUCUGUGAGUCUACAAUUAUCAAUAGGAUGAUAAGAUGUUCUCUGUCUUUUAGGUUGCCACCCAAGUGAAUGAACUCCAGUUUUAAUUUCCUUUUUGGUGAUAGGAAAUCUGAAGACAGGCAAGGUUAAAUGACCCACCUGAAGGCCCAGUGCAAUCAGUGAUGGAAUCAUAUCCUCCUUCACAGCUCUGGUUCCUGGCUUCCAGUUUCACCAACUUAUUAAAACCAAGACUUUUAGGAUGUCUGUUAGGAUCUUAUUGCCUUAUUCAUACUCACAUCCUGGAUGGCAACAUUGAUUCAGUGUCUUUUAUCAGCACACCUGAGAGUUUACAGCUCAGCCUUAGCUGAGAUGACAUCCACCUGUUCCAGGGAGGAAAGGCCAACACUGGGAGAACUUGCUGUGAACCCGCACUAUGCUAUGUGCUUGGAUAUGAUGGCUUAAGCCGUGCAACCGCCAUAUUGGUACAUCGUGUGCAAGAUUUUCUUAAGAGCAAAAAUAAUCCUUUGAUGAGGAGCUGACAAUGCCAAAGUUCUUUUUGUG